ensembl:piRNA 21ur-7659 ncRNA
UCUGGGAGACGGAGAAUAAGA